AAUUUGAAAUCUGGCCCUUUUGGGGUCCGAGUUGUAAUUUGUAGAGAGUGCUUCGGGUGAGACUGCGGUCUAAGUCCAUUGGAACAUGGCGUCCCAGAGGGUGAGAAUCCCGUAUGUGACCGCGGCUCGAGCCCAUGUGAAGCCUCUUCGACGAGUCGAGUUGUUUGGGAAUGCAGCUCUAAAUGGGUGGUAAAUUUCAUCUAAAGCUAAAUACUGGCUGGAGACCGAUAGCGCACAAGUAGAGUGAUCGAAAGAUGAAAAGCACUUUGGAAAGAGGGUUAAACAGUACGUGAAAUUGUUGAAAGGGAAGCGCUGGCAACCAGACCUGUCCGUAGGCGAUCACCCGUUGUUCUCAGCGGUGCACUCGUUCUGCGAUCAGGCCAGCAUCGGUUCGGGCGGGCGGAUAAAGGUCUUGGGAAUGUAGCUCCCUUUCGGGGGAGUCUUAUAGCCCUCGAUGCAAUGCGCCCAGCCGGGACCGAGGACCGCGCUUCGGCUAGGAUGCUGGCGUAAUGGUUGUCAGCGACCC
rnacentral:rRNA from 1 species